GACGAACGCUGGCGGCGCGCUUAACACAUGCAAGUCGAGCGAAGCGGCGGACGGGUGAGUAACACGUGAGUAACCUGCCUUAGACAUUGGGAUAGCCUCGGCAAACCGGGUUUAAUACCAAAUGGUCUAAGAUGGACUCGCGUCCCAUUAGCUAUUUGGUGAGGUAACGGCCCACCAAGGCGACGAUGGGUAGCCGGCCUGGGAGGGUGGACGGCCACGUUGUAACUGAGAAACGGUCCAAACUCUACGGGAGGCAGCAGGGGGGGAUAUUGCACAAUGGAGGGAACUCUGAUGCAGCGACGCCGCGUGAACGAAUAAGGCUUGCGAGUCGUAAAGUUCUUUUAUAUGGGAAUCGGUACCAUAAGAAAAAGCCCCGGCUAACUACGUGCCAGCAGCCGCGGUAAUAC
rnacentral:rRNA from 1 species